UCUCAAAGAUUAAGCCAUGCAUGUGUCAGUGCAGCCUUUCUUUACGGUGAAACCGCGAAUGGCUCAUUAAAUCAGUCAUUAUCCGUUGGACUUUAUGGAACUGUGUCCUUACUCGGAUAACUGUGGUAAUUCUAGAGCUAAUACAUGCCACGAGUUCCCAAAGUGUUUAAUUCAACAUUAGUAGGACGCAAUUAUUAGAUCCAAAAAUUGUACCGAUCUUUAACUUGGUGUAAAAUUUGGUGAAUCUGGAUAAUCACAGCAGAGCGCUUAAUUCGCGCCGGCGCCUGACCUUUGAAGAGUCUGCCCUAUCAGCUUGAUUGUAGAUUAAAUGUCUACAAUGGCUAUAACGGGUAACGGGGAAUCAGGGUUCGUUCCGGAGAGGGAGCCUGAGAAACGGCUACCACAUCUAAGGAAGGCAGCAGGCACGCAAAUUGCUCAAUCUUAGCUCGAGGAAGCAGUGACAAAAUAUCUUGAUGCGGGACUCUUCCGAGGCCUCGCAAUCAGGAUGCGUUUACUUAAAGCAGUAAACUGAACGCAAUUGGGAGGCAAGUCUGUGCCAGCAGCCGCGUAAUUCCAGCUCCAAUAGCGAAUAUUUAAGUUGCUGCGGCUAAAAAGCUCGUAGUUGGACUUUAUACUCAGGCAGACCAGCCCU
rnacentral:rRNA from 1 species